CCUCUCGCGAGGCUUGGCGGGAGAAGCGGGCGCGCGCAGCCCGCUUCCUCCUUUCUCCGUGCUCGCUCCCGGUCGACAUGGCGGCCGGGCCGCAGGUGAGCAUGGGAUGGUGUCAAGUAAGGGUGAAAACACUCACCUGCCUGGGAAGCUGAUUCCUUCACUGGACUGACAGUAAACCUGCACCAGCUGCACAAUGGAGGAAAUUGUCCUGCAGAAUCCUGGGGUUGUACUGUUGCCCAGACAGCUUUGGCAAGAGGACAGCUGCUAAGUUGGGCUUCAAGCUGGACUUGUGACGCCACAGGGGACCCAUGCUGGAGCAGUCUGUGCCUGAAGGACUGCAGCCCGUGGAAGGGACCCAUGCUGGAGCAGUUUGUGAAGAACUGCAGCCCGGGGGAAGGACUCACGAUGGAGAAGUUCGUGAAGGACUGUGGAGGGACCCCACACUGGAGCAGGGGAAGAGUGUGAGGAGUCCUCCCCCCUGAGGAGGAUGGAGCGGCAGAGACAAUGUGCGAUGAACUGACUGCAACCCCCAUUCCCUGUCCCCCUGUGCUCCUGGAGGGGAAGUAGAGCAAAUCGGGAGUGGAAAGAAGGCUGAACCGGCAAACUUGACAACAACAGACUUCUUGAGAAGUCAAGAAGCUAUGGAAGGAAGAUUGUUCUGGAGCGGGUCUCACAAAUGAUACCAUCAUUUGAAACAGUGUAAAAUGACCACUUGGGCGUAACCGCAGGCUUCUCGCUGCUCAGUUUGCUGCAACCACAUCACAGGACCUGAUCUACAGCUGGCUGGAGGAAAAAGUGGUUCCCUGCUGUCUUCUGUUCCAGAAUAAAAUAAGUUAUGGAAAAUCUUGGGAGUUGAAGUUGGGUUUUGUUUGGGGUUUUUGUAAAG